UACGGAGGGUGCAAGCGUUAUCCGGAUUCACUGGGUUUAAAGGGUGCGUAGGUGGCUUUGUAAGUCAGUGGUGAAAUCUCGGAGCUUAACUCCGAAACUGCCAUUGAUACUGCUUAGCUUGAGUCAAGUAGAGGUGGAUGGAAUAUUACAUGUAGCGGUGAAAUGCUUAGAUAUGUAAUAGAACACCGAUUGCGAAGGCAGUUCACUAUGCUUGUAUUGACACUGAGGCACGAAAGCGUGGGGAUCAAACAGG
rnacentral:rRNA from 1 species